rnacentral:misc_RNA from 1 species
GAUGAAGAACGUAGCGAAAUGCGAUACUUGGUGUGAAUUGCAGAAUCCCGUGAACCAUCGAGUCUUUGAACGCAAGUUGCGCCUCAAGCCAUUAGGUUGAGGGCACGUCUGCCUGGGCGUCACAUAUCGUUGCCUGAUGUCAGUUUCCUCGUGAUGGGUGACUGUGCAGGGCGAAUGAUGGCUUCCCGUGAGCAUUGUUGCCUCAUGGUUGGUUGAAAAUUGAGUCCUUGGUAGGGAGCGCCGUGAUAGAUGGUGGUUGAGUGACGAACGAGACCCAAUCAUGUGAGACCCCUACCGAAUUUGGCCUUCAUGACCCACAUGCGUCUUUGGAACGCUCAUGACGAGACCUCAGGUCAGGCGGGGCUACCCGCUGAGUUUAAGCAUAUCAAUAAGCGGAGGA